rnacentral:lncRNA from 1 species
AACAAACAGACAGUCUCUCUGAGAGAGGUUUUAAAACAGCAGAGACUCACAUGAUUUAAAAACUUAGAAUCAUAACCUCUAUAAUAUUGCAAUCCACAUCUAAAAAGUCCUAAUCACAAAAGCACAUUAUACCAUGUCCUACCUUAGCAAUCAAAUUCAUCUAGCCAACAACUUAGCAAAUCUUGUCUAACAUUCCCCUCUACCAACCU